CACGUAGGGGGCAAGCGUUGUCCGGAUUUAUUGGGCGUAAAGAGCUCGUAGGUGGUUCGGUAAGUCGGGUGUGAAACCUCCAGGCUCAACCUGGAGACGCCACCCGAUACUGCUGUGACUGGAGUCCGGUAGGGGAGCGUGGAAUUCCUGGUGUAGCGGUGAAAUGCGCAGAUAUCAGGAGGAACACCAAAGGCGAAAGCACUUUGCUGGGCCGAAACUGACACUGAUAGACGAAAGCUAGGGGAGCAAAUGGG
rnacentral:rRNA from 1 species